GUCUGUGGUGUGGGUAGCUCAGUUGGUUAGAGCGUGGUGCUGAUAAUGCCAAGGUUGCAGGUUCGAUCCCCGUAUGGGACA